GGGUCCAUGGCAUGUCCGGGAUUGCGGCCGCCUGUUAAGCGGCAUGAGCUGGGUUCGACUCCCAGUGGGCCCU
rnacentral:tRNA from 1 species